rnacentral:rRNA from 1 species
GACGAACGCUGGAGGCGUGCUUAACACAUGCAAGUCGAACGAUGAAAUGGAGCUUGCUCCAUGGAUUAGUGGCGAACGGGUGAGUAACACGUGAAUAACCUGCCCUUAAUUUUGGAAUAACCCAGGGAAACCUGGGCUAAUACCGGAUAAGUAAACCUGUGGCAUCACAUGGUUUUGGAAAGUUUUUCGAUUAAGGAUGGAUUCGCGGCCUAUCAGCUUGUUGGUGAGGUAAUGGCUCACCAAGGCGACGACGGGUAGCCGGCCUGAGAGGGUGAACGGCCACACUGGGACUGAGACACGGCCCAGACUCCUACGGGAGGCAGCAGUGGGGAAUAUUGGACAAUGGACGAAAGUCUGACGCAGCGACGCCUCGUGAGGGACGAAGGUCUUCGGAUUGUAAACCUCUUUCAGCAGGGACGAAGCGAAAGUGACGGUACCUGCAGAAGAAGCACCGGCUAACUAUGUGCCAGCCGCCGCAGUAA